GUAUUGCAUUUCUAAUACUGGGCUGAGUAGGAAAGUUCAACAAUGGCGACCACGAAGGGACUUUGGAGUUACAAAAGAUGGCAGUGGUAAGCGA